CCUACGGGAGGCAGCAGUGAGGAAUAUUGGUCAAUGGCCGGAAGUCUGAACCAGCCAUGCCGCGUGCGGGAUGACGGCUCUACGAGUUGUAAACUGCUUUUGUACGAGAAUAAUAGUUCUUACGCGUAGGGAUUUGAGUGUACCGUACGAAUAAGCAUCGGCUAACUCCGUGCCAGCAGCCGCGGUAAUACGGAGGAUGCGAGCGUUAUCCGGAUUUAUUGGGUGUAAAGGGUGCGUAGGCGGUCGGAUAAGUUAGAGGUGAAAUGUCGGGGCUUAACCCCGGGACUGCUUCUGUGACGGUUCGACUAGAGAGCGGAUGCGGCAGGCGGAAUGAGUAGUGUAGCGGUGAAAUGCGUAGAUAUUACGCAGAACACCGAUGGCGCAGGCAGCUUGCUAAUCCGCAUCUGACGCUGAUGCACGAAAGCGUGGGGAGCGAACAGGAUUAGAUACCCUGGUAGUC
rnacentral:rRNA from 1 species